CUCCGGGGAUAACAGGCUGAUACCGCCCAAGAGUUCAUAUCGACGGCGGGGUUUGGCACCUCGAUGUCGGCUCAUCACAUCCUGGGGCUGUAGUAGGUCCCAAGGGUUGGGCUGUUCGCCCAUUAAAGUGGUACGCGAGCUGGGUUCAGAACGUCGUGAGACAGUUCGGUCCCUAUCCGUCGCAGGCGUAGGAAAUUUGAGAAGACCUGUCCUUAGUACGAGAGGACCGGGAUGGACGUACCUCUGGUGUACCAGUUGUCCUGCCAAGGGCAUGGCUGGGUAGCUAUGUACGGAAUGGAUAAGCGCUGAAAGCAUCUAA
rnacentral:rRNA from 1 species